rnacentral:rRNA from 1 species
GACGAACGCUGGCGGCGUGCUUAACACAUGCAAGUCGAACGGAAAGGCCCUGCUUUUGUGGGGUGCUCGAGUGGCGAACGGGUGAGUAACACGUGAGUAACCUGCCCUUGACUUUGGGAUAACUUCAGGAAACUGGGGCUAAUACCGGAUAGGAGCUCCUGCUGCAUGGUGGGGGUUGGAAAGUUUCGGCGGUUGGGGAUGGACUCGCGGCUUAUCAGCUUGUUGGUGGGGUAGUGGCUUACCAAGGCUUUGACGGGUAGCCGGCCUGAGAGGGUGACCGGCCACAUUGGGACUGAGAUACGGCCCAGACUCCUACGGGAGGCAGCAGUGGGGAAUAUUGCACGAGGGGCGGAAGCCUGAUGCAGCAACGCCGCGUGCGGGAUGACGGCCUUCGGGUUGUAAACCGCUUUCGCCUGUGACGAAGCGUGAGUGACGGUAAUGGGUAAAGAAGCACCGGCUAACUACGUG